rnacentral:rRNA from 1 species
ACGGCUCAGUAACACGUAGUCAAUCUACCCUAUGGACGGGGAUAACCUCGGGAAACUGAGAAUAAUACCCGAUAGAACAUUAUGCCUGGAAUGGUUUAUGUUUCAAAUGAUUUAUCGCUAUAGGAUGGGACUGCGGCCUAUCAGUUUGUUGGUGAGGUAAUGGCCCACCAAGACUAUUACAGGUACGGGCUCUGAGAGGAGUGGCCCGGAGAUGGGUACUGAGACACGGACCCAGGCCCUAUGGGGCGCAGCAGGCGAGAAAACUUUGCAAUGUGCGAAAGCACGACAAGGUUAAUCCGAGUGGUUUCUGCUAAAGAAACCUUUUGUCAGUCCUAGAAACACUGGUGAAUAAGGGGUGGGCAAGUUCUGGUGUCAGCCGCCGCGGUAGAACCAGCACCUCAAGUGGUCAGGAUGAUUAUUGGGCCUAAAGCAUCCGUAGCUCGUUUUGUAAGUUUUCGGUUAAAUCCAUGCGCUUAACGUAUGGGCUGCCGGGAAUACUGCAUGACUAGGAAGUGGGAGAGGUAGACGGUACUCGGUAGGAAGGGGUAAAAUCCUUUGAUCUAUUGAUGACCACCUGUGGCGAAGGCGGUCUACCAGAACACGUUCGACGGUGAGGGAUGAAAGCUGGGGGAGCGAACCGGAUUAGAUACCCGGGUAGUCCCAGCUGUAAACGAUGCAAACUAGGUGUUUGGACGGCCACGUGCCGUUCUAGUGCCGCAGGGAAGCUGUUAAGUUUGCCGCCUGGGGAGUACGAUCGCAAGAUUGAAACUUAAAGGUAAUUGGCGGGGGAG